AGCGGCGUUAUGGCCGCGUGCACCUGCAGCCGUGCCACGCGAGAGCGGGGAUUUCGAAUCUUGAUUAAUGCGCCCCUGAAUCUCGCACCUCGGAUCCCGGACCCGCAGAAAAAUCACGCCACCAAUCCGGAACGCUCGAACCAGUCAACAAAUCCAAUUCGCGAAGCCAAGACAAACGAUUCUUUCCGCUCGAUCGACUCUGAAAUUAAAUCGUGUCAGGAAAUCAAGUGAGAAAAGAAUGAUUUCGCGUUGGGACAUUUUUUACUACGAAGUGACGAAUCAUGGAAUCACGGAAACCAUAAACGCAUCAUUAUGAUGCUCCAAGCUCCGUACUACCACCAACUUCGACUAUUUCUCGGCGUAAAAAUUUGUAAAUGUUGCCAAAAGAGUAGCAAAUAGAUAUAAAAACGCCGAUGCAAGAAAUUGCAUAGUUUCUGUAUAAAAAGAAAACCAAAAUAGCCCAGAAAAAGCUA